rnacentral:tRNA from 1 species
GCCGGACUUGAACCGGCACGGUAGUCACCUACCGCAGGAUUUUAAGUAGAGCAACUGACUUGUAAUCAGUAGGUUGGGGGUUCAAGUCCUCUGGCCGGCA